AUGAGAUCGUUGGAGAACCGCAAUCUUCCGGGAGGUGAUGUUAAUGAUAUCUUCUUGUUUAAUGAGAUAAUUGGUCAUUUGGGACUUGUUGAGUUGCCAAUCAAGGGGCGUCAAUAUACUUUGUUGAAUAUGCAAACCUCACCGCUUCUAGAACAGAUAGAUUGGUUUUUCACUUCGGUUACUUGGACAUGAGACCACCCCAACACAAUGGUUUUUCCA
rnacentral:rRNA from 1 species